UGUUCCCUGCGGUGUUCGUUUAGACCUAUAUUCUUUGAACCAACUUUUUUAAGAAUCGGUUACGAACCAAAGUGACGCUGUUGUGCGCAUCCUAUUGGAAGCGCCUGAUGCGUCCGGCUAGUGACCACCUUGGACCUUAAGGUUCAAGAUAAAUGGUCUGACGGCAUCUGCGGGGACUUU
rnacentral:other from 4 species